rnacentral:pre_miRNA from 1 species
GCAGGCCGUGUCAUGCCACCACAUCAGAGCGUCCGUGCAUCUUGCACGGACGCUCUGAUGUGGUGGCAUGACACGGCCCAC